rnacentral:rRNA from 1 species
AGUUCAGAUCACAGUCUGCAACUCGACUGCGUGAAGUCGGAAUCGCUAGUAAUCGCGGAUCAGCAUGCCGCGGUGAAUACGUUCCCGGGCCUUGUACACACCGCCCGUCACACCAUGAGAGUCGGGAACACCCGAAGCCCGUAGCCUAACCAAUCUGGAGGGCGCGGCCGAAGGUGGGUUCGAUAAUUGGGGUGAAGUCGUAACAAGGUACC